GAUGAACGCUGGCGGCGUGCCUAAUACAUGCAAGUCGAGCGAACAGACGAGGAGCUUGCUCCUCUGACGUUAGCGGCGGACGGGUGAGUAACACGUGGAUAACCUACCUAUAAGACUGGGAUAACUUCGGGAAACCGGAGCUAAUACCGGAUAAUAUAUUGAACCGCAUGGUUCAAUAGUGAAAGACGGUUUUGCUGUCACUUAUAGAUGGAUCCGCGCCGCAUUAGCUAGUUGGUAAGGUAACGGCUUACCAAGGCAACGAUGCGUAGCCGACCUGAGAGGGUGAUCGGCCACACUGGAACUGAGACACGGUCCAGACUCCUACGGGAGGCAGCAGUAGGGAAUCUUCCGCAAUGGGCGAAAGCCUGACGGAGCAACGCCGCGUGAGUGAUGAAGGUCUUCGGAUCGUAAAACUCUUUUAUUGGGGAAGAACAAAUGUGUAAGUAACUCUGCACGUCUUGACGGUACCUAAUCAGAAAGCCACGGCUAACUACGUG
rnacentral:rRNA from 1 species